CCCCUUUCUUCCUCACGCAUCUGCGCAACCCUUCCCCCUCCCUCGAAAUUUCUUCCCUUCCCUAGCCGACAGCCGCCCCAAAUCCCCUCUGCCGAGUCGCCCUUCCUCUUGCCGCUGUGGGUUUUAGGCUGACCAGAUCUCGCCGCCAGCCUAGCCAGCAGCUUGCCGUCCAUGUGGAAGCCAUCACCACCAUUCCGCCCUUUCACUGACAUUGAAAGUCGCCGCUGUAGCCCAGCCAGUCGCUCACUUGCCCAACCAAUCUUCCGCCGCUCGCCAUUCGCCACUAACCGCCGAGCCGCCCGUCCCAUCAUCCAGCUCGAUCCGUACAACCUAGGUUCACCAUUUGUUGCUAACCGUCAAGCCGCAUGUCCCAUCAUCCAGCCUAGGUUCACUUCACCUCAUCGUUAGAUCCGCGGCCUGAUCCGCUGUCUAGCCGUCGGAUUUCUUCUGUCGCCGCCACCAUUGCUUGUGCCAGAAUAUCGGAGUCCUUGGCUAAGAUAAAAGUUUUUAGAAUUUUCUUUGUGGAUUUUAGAAUACUCGGUUGAUUUUGGCUAAAAUUGUGAAUGACCAUCAUGUUUGGGCCAUAGAUUUGAGUGUUGGAAGAGUUUCAAGGUUGAAAGCGGAUCGUGUGGCGUUGCAAAAGUUGUUUCAGAUUGGUCAAUCAAACUUUUGGUUGUGGAUUUGAUCUUGGACAAAGCCAUAACUUUGGGGAAUUAAUUCAAGAAUUACUUUGUUGGAGAUUAAUUGCUUGGGUUAAUUUUGGAUUUAACUUUGAGGUAAGGGUAAGGAUGCACUGGUGAUGGACAAGCGGAAUUCGUGAUCGAGCCACUGGGACUAGU